rnacentral:lncRNA from 1 species
CAAAAAUGUUUUUGCUUUAUAUUAAACUUAAGUGUUUUUGUUGGGCCUGGUUGUUUUCUGCUGCUUUUGUGCUGUUUUUUGGAACUUUUAUAUAUAGCUUGCUUGUUAGUAUUGCUUUAUGUUGUACUGCAGGUAUUUUUACUUUCUCUAUAAGUAGAAAAGUUAUAUUUGUGUUUUCAUCUCUGCUUUUCCACUACUAUGACAAUAAUUUUUAUUAGUAAUACUGUGAUGGUGGCCUCAAAGGAGAGUUGAAAACAUUUAUAAAGUAGUUUCUGCAGUCUUGAGCCAGUUUUUGAAUUUACAGUUAGAUGUUGGAUAGUUUUCCAUCUGCCAUCUUUAUUGGCUCAAUUUGGAUUUCAUCUUCUUUGGGAGCUUCUCAUUUUUCAUUUGGUGGUUUAAUCUGAUUGAAUCAAAACUUUUAUAGAAUAUUGUCACAUAAAACAUGUAUGCCAAAUUUAAUCAAAAGUUGACUGAUAUGGCUUGUAGAGGAAUUCAUGAUGAAAAAACAUCUUUGUCUUUAUUGGAUAGCAUUUUUCAAAAGGCUUCAAAUAACAUAAAAAACAUAUACAUUACAGAUUUGGUCAAAAUUGAUUGAACUAUGUGAUCUAGAGCAAUGUUUCUCAACCUUUUUUGGCCUGUGGAUCGGUAAAAUUUGUGAAAAAAGUUUCGCGGACCGGUGGUUUUUUAACAAAAAAAAUUUUACUAGGUAUUAAAAAACUAC